AUUGAACGCUGGCGGCAGGCCUAACACAUGCAAGUCGAGCGAGCGGCGGAUGGGUGAGUAAUGUCUGGGAAACUGCCUGUUGGCGGGGGAUAACUACUGGAAACGGCAGCUAAUACCGCAUACCCUCAGAUGUGCCCCGAUGGGAUUAGCUAGUAGGUGGGGUAACGGUGCACCUAGGCGACGAUCCCUAGCUGGUCUGAGAGGAUGACCAGCCACACUGGAACUGAGACACGGUCCAGACUCCUACGUGAGGCAGCAGUGGGGAAUAUUGCACAAUGGGCGCAAGCCUGAUGCAGCCAUGCCGCGUGUGUGAAGAAGGCCUUCGGGUUGUAAAGCACUUUCAGCGGGGAGGCGUUACCCGCAGAAGAAGCACCGGCUAACUCCGUGCCAGCAGCCGCGGUAAUUC
rnacentral:rRNA from 1 species